rnacentral:misc_RNA from 1 species
UUUCCGUAGGUGAACCUGCGGAAGGAUCAUUAACGAGUUAGGGUCUUUUAGGCCCGACCUCCCAACCCUAUGUUUAUUGAACCUCUGUCGCUUCGGCGGACCCGUCUCACGGCCGCCGGAGGACCGCUGCGAGGCGUCCUCUGGCCAGCGUCCGCCGAUGGCCAACCCACUAAACUCUGAAUGAAUCGUGUCAUAUGUCUAAGUCUAUGAUUAAAUUAAAGCAAAACUUUCAACAACGGAUCUCUUGGUUCUG